CUUCCGCAAUGGACGAAAGUCCGACGGAGCAACGCCGCGCGAGUGAUGAAGGUUUUCGGAGCGUAAAACUCUGUUGUUAGGGAAGAACAAGUACCGUUCGAAUAGGGCGGUACCUUGACGGUACCUAAACAGAAAGCCACGGCUAAACACGUGACAGCAGCCGCGGUAAUACGUAGGUGGCAAGCGGUGUCCGGAAUUAUUGGGCGUAAAGCGCGCGCAGGCGGUUUCUUAAGUCUGAUGUGAAAGCCCCCGGCUCAACCGGGGAGGGUCAUUGGAAACUGGGGAACUUGAGUGCAGAAGAGGAGAGUGGAAUUCCACGUGUAGCGGUGAAAUGCGUAGAGAUGUGGAGGAACACCAGUGGCGAAGGCGACUCUCUGGCCUGUAACUGACGCUGAGGCGCGAAAGCGUGGGGAGCGAACAGG
rnacentral:rRNA from 1 species